rnacentral:pre_miRNA from 1 species
UUAACUCAGAUUUGUAUGGAGUUGGAACGUUUGCCUACGUUUGCCGCUAGGGGCGCUGUUCUAACUGCAUACGCGAAUUUGUAACA